rnacentral:rRNA from 1 species
UACGUAGGGGGCAAGCGUUGUCCGGAUUUAUUGGGCGUAAAGAGCGUGUAGGCGGCCAGGUAGGUCAGCUGUGAAAACUCGAGGCUCAACCUCGAGACGUCGGUUGAAACCACCUGGCUAGAGUCCGGAAGAGGAGAGUGGAAUUCCUGGUGUAGCGGUGAAAUGCGUAGAGAUGUGGAGGAAUACCGAUGGCGAAGGCAGCCUCCUGGGCCAACACUGACGCUCAUGCACGAAAGCGUGGGGAGCAAACAGG